AAUAAAUUGUUAAUAGUGUGACGAGAUAUAUAAGAAACACUUUUUGACUUUCCACUUUGUCUAAGCUUUCUUGCCAUUCAGAAAACAUAAAAUACCCAUGUAGAACCCGGUGUGUAUGGAGGCAGGUGGAAUUUCAAAGGUCCUCAGCUGAAAAGGGGCCGUCACUAGUUCACUUUCCCUCUCACUCUGGAUACGGCAGUUACUGAAAGCGCAAAGAAACACAAGCAGACUGGGGGUAAUAUAACAAAGGUGAGAAUCAUCUCGCGUUACUUGCCCGCUCAACCCGCCUCUUCUCCUUCCAUAGCUGAAGCUCGAUCACGCCCCCGCUACCCAGCACAUAAUACAUUUCUGCAAGCUGCUGAUCUACAUCCAUUCAUUUUCUGUAGGCUACCGCUUAUCCUACAUGGGGUCGCGGAGCACAAGGCAGGGGACACCCUGGACGGUGUGCUAACCCAUCGCAAGGCACAAUCGCACACACUCCGGUCAAUUUAGAGAUGCUAAUCAGCCUACAACACAUGUCUUUGGACUGGGGGAAGGAAACCCCCGAAUCGCAGGGAGAACGUGCAAGCUCUGUGCACGCAGGCGGGAAUCUAACCCCCAACCCCGGCGGUGCGCGGCAGCAGUGCUAAGCCGCCAUGCUGCCGAAGGAAGGGACUUGAGCUACACAUGAAGGGAAAAUGUUUUUAUCAAAUUCUAAAGAAACACGGCCUACCAUUUUAUGAAGACUGACUGAAAGCCAAUUUUAAUGGCUAUUUGGGAAGCAUGUUUUCAUUCAUUUAGGCUUUAACGCCUUCAGAAAGUAUUCACCACCCAGCAACUAUUUCUCUUUUUACUGCACCAUCAAAUUUAAGCACUGAAUAGAGUAUUUAUAGUCUAUUUUAAAGCUUAAUUGGUAAGUAUUUAAUGAUAAUUGUCCUUCUGCAGCAAUUACAGAUUUGAGUUAUCUAGGAUAUGUCUCUAUGAACUUUGCACAUUUUAGUUCCAUUCCUCAAUGCAAAUUUUCUCCAACUCUCCCAAGCUAGAUGGAGAAUGUUGGUGGAUAGCAAUUUUUGGUUUGUGCCAAACAUUAUGCUUUGCUUUAAGACCAAAUGGCUCAAUUCAGUCUCAUCAGACCACAAAAUCGUUUUCCAAGAUCUCUCAUAUUUUCUAAUAUGGCCUUUUUCAAAAGUGGCUUCCUUCUGGCCACUCUCCCAUAGAGGAUGGAUCUGUGAAGAAUUGAUUAUAUUGCUGAGGUCCCACAGGUUCUCUGAUUUCAGCCAGUGAGCUCUGUAACUCUUUCAGUAUUGUAGCUGGACUCUUGGACACGUCUCUAACAACUGCUUAUCUUGUAUGAGCACUCAGUCUGAUCUUAUCUUGGAUCCAGUGUACGAUAAUGUUUGGACCGCGAAACUCUCGCGACACUCACCGGCACUGAUAGGCAUCGCGAGAGUUUCCAAAAAAUAGCGCGGUUUUCCACCUUUCGUAAAAAGUGGGAGAUGAGUAAGUUACAGCGCAGCCUUGGUUCCUGGAUCAACUUCAAGUGUUUGAGCACAACACAUCCUAUCAGGCUAAAACUGGUUGAUGUACGGAGUUUUCAAUCAGGAACUACGAGCGCUGGUACAGUGAGCACUUAAGGUCCUUUGAGCUGACAUCAUCAAGCAGCUUCUCUGUGCAUCAGCUGUCAGAGCUAAAUGACACAAAAAUGGCAGCUCAAAACUUCCUACUUCAUGUCCAUACCUCCACAGACAUUGUCAGGAAGAUGACUUUGUCUUCACGGCCACCAUCUGUGGAUGAGCUAAAAACAAUGAUCAAAGAAAAGUUUAAGCUAGACUUUGAUUUUAGCUUAAUAUACUAAGAUCCAGAUUUCGAUGGGCAGCUAUGUUCCCUUGUAGAUAUUGAGGAGCUUCCACAGAAGGUUGUGCUAAAAGUUAUAAGGUCUGAGAGUGAUGCCAGUUCAGUAGCAUCAGAUGACACCAUCAUAUUGCCCCAUGCCAUUACUCCAGACAGGACUGAGAGAUGGCCUGAUGUUUUUCCAGUGCCCACUUUUUCUUAUGAGGUAGAACUCAUCCUUGGUGAGGGAUAUGUUGGUUAUGAGAGAACAGAGAAAACUCUCAAGUUAUCUAGGGGGCAAAAACAUGAUAUCCUUGAAACCCUUGCAGCCAAAAUGCACAGUUUUAAAGCAUACCCCAAUGAUAAGGAAAUUUCAAUCGUAGCAGAAGCACUUGUCACUCAGCAUUCUUGUCUAACAGAGCCAGGAUCUCGGACAGGGUGGUAUGGUUGGAAAAACAGUCUGAAGUUUAAGAUGGGGAAGUACCGUACCAAGUUAAGUCGGGCUGGAUUUCAUGAGGUGGCGGUAACUUCUGAUAAGAGAAGUAGAAACAACCCAGACAAACAAGCUCCCCACACUAACAUUAAAAGACCAAAGAGGGCAGAAGUGAAUUUCCUUCCAAACUUCCCAAGAGGUGAAAAUGCCGUGAGCCUUGAACAAUUGAGACUGCAAAUUGUAGAUGAAGUUCAGAUGAGAGAGAAAAAUCUUCCCAUGAUCACAAAGUUAAUGCAGACCACCUUUGCCCUGUGGCAGAAAGAGGUCAUCAAUGAUGACCUGCCUGUUGGUGACAUUCUUGAACACUGGCCUGCCCUUAAACUGUAGUCACAGAUCUGUUCUGAAUUUCACAGAAUCACAAACAUGAAUCUGAAGAACCACUUCUAUGCUGUGUUGGACCAACAUGCCCCCGUCUUCAGAAUUUAUUCAGGAAGAAAGCUGCUCGCACAGGGAAAGUAGCUGAAGUUCUGGAUCAGCUGUUCAGGAUUUAUGACCUCCAGGAACAAGUUGAUGUUCAUGUGAGGGAUCAUUCUGGGGGAUUUUCUCCAAAGACGAAGCAUACAACUAGCCAUACUGACCAGCCUGUAAGUGGUACAGUAAGUCAAAUGUCUGACACCGCACUAAUUAUUUAAAUAAACAUGAUAAUUUGGCAAAAAGAACAACAGAUUUACUAUUGCUAGUGUAUCUGAGUUUUUCCUCUAAUUUAUUCACAUACAAUAAUUUAUUAAUGGAUUAUUAUUUAUCAGUCAAUGUAUAAUUUACUGCUUAUAUUUAGCUAUGUUGCAGUUACCACCUCCCGUCCUCACUCCACCCGCAAUAUCAGUCUGUUUGUUAGCAAAUAAUUUGCCUACACAAGACCACACAUCUUAAAUCGCAGCACAAAUCUUUUAUUAUUAAUUUAAUUUUUCUGUGGUCACAUCAGUAAAAAAAAAAAAAAAAAGCUCUAGCGAAUUCCACGGAGCGACCUAAUAAAAGUGGGGUUUAUUAGAGAUAGCCUCAUUUGACUUAGCGAAACUGGUCAGUCCAGGCUCAGUGAGUUCCAUCAACUAAGUUCAGGCGCAAUUUAUUUCCGAUAAUUCAAGCCGGAAUUGGCCAAUCGAUGCUCAUGCACGUGCACACGACAUACACGUAGCCCUAUCAGUCGAGUGAAGAUAUUGCGAUAUGGCAGUAAUGGCAGUAAUGAGAGAUACAUUACACUUAUUUUCAUAUGAAAUGGUCUCAAAUGCCAAGCUCAGAGGGCCAAUAUUUAAAAAAGUUCUACAGUAAAUUUCUACAAAUAUCUUCAUAUUGAGGAAUUAUUGUGGAAUUGUCAGAUUUUUUUUUUUUUUUUUUUUUUUU